rnacentral:ncRNA from 1 species
AAAAAAUUUGGUUCUGGUUUUUCUGUUGUGAUGUUUGAGGUGUAUACAUGCUAGUCCAUAGGCGUCCCGGUGAGGCAGCGAGUUUGGAGGCCCUUAAUUAUAUAUACAUUGAGCUAAAAACAUCGUAUGAAUUAACUGUUCUAUAAAAAGAAAAAUAGCCGUUAAAUAGCGUCACAUCUGCAGUAAUGAGCCUUUAACACUCACUGAGAAGUGGAUUAGACCAAUUAAUAAAGUGAGGGGGCUAAGUCUCGUGCCAGCAGCCGCGGUUACACGAAUCUCCUCUCAUAACUUAGGAAGCGGCUUAUUGAGGAUUCUAGUGUUUAUUGGUGUAAAGAAGCCCUUAACAAUAAGUGUGGAAACUUAAAUUGGGCCGUAAAUGCGUCUAAUAUGGGCCUCGUGAUUUAGGGGGGAGACCCGGAUUAGAUACCCGGUUAUUCCUAAGUGUCAAGAGAUAAUGCCGGCGGAGUACGGAGGUGUCUUUAAAAAGCCAAGAACUUGGCGGUUGUCUAUUUCUGAUUAGGGGAGCUUGUUUGAAGAAAAGGAUAAUCCGCCAAACACCUGACCCCUUUUUGAUUUUCAGCCACUAUAUCAUCGUCUCUAAGUGCUUAGUCCGAGCUUAAGACAACUACAAAUCAGGGAAAGCUUGCUAGAAGUCAGAUCAAGAUGGUGCCUAUAAAGGGGGGAGAAUGAGCUACACUGGUAUAUUAACCGCAGUUAAGUUUGGGGGUAAAGAUGAAAUUGUUUACUUUAAAAAGGACUUAAUAGUAAUAAAGCUUGAGAUAGGCUUUGUGAAAUUAGCGCUAGGCUUCGUACACAUCGCCCGUCGCCUGCGGGGUAAAACUUGGAGUAAGUCGUAACAUAGUAGGCGGACCGGAAGGUGUGGCCUGGACAA